UGGGGAAUUUUGGACAAUGGGCGAAAGCCUGAUCCAGCAAUGCCGCGUGUGUGAAGAAGGCCUUCGGGUUGUAAAGCACUUUUGUCCGGAAAGAAAUCCUUGGCUCUAAUACAGUCGGGGGAUGACGGUACCGGAAGAAUAAGCACCGGCUAACUACGUGCCAGCAGCCGCGGUAAUACGUAGGGUGCAAGCGUUAAUCGGAAUUACUGGGCGUAAAGCGUGCGCAGGCGGUUUGCUAAGACCGAUGUGAAAUCCCCGGGCUCAACCUGGGAACUGCAUUGGUGACUGGCAGGCUAGAGUAUGGCAGAGGGGGGUAGAAUUCCACGUGUAGCAGUGAAAUGCGUAGAGAUGUGGAGGAAUACCGAUGGCGAAGGCAGCCCCCUGGGCCAAUACUGACGCUCAUGCACGAAGCGUGGGGGAGCAAACAGGAUUAGAUACCCUGGUAGUCCACGCCCUAAACGAUGUCAACUAGUUGUUGGGGAUUCAUUUCCUUAGUAACGUAGCUAACGCGUGAAGUUGACCGCCUGGGGAGUACGGUCGCAAGAUUAAAACUUAAAUGAAUUGACGGGGUCAUA
rnacentral:rRNA from 1 species